AGAAAUUGUACAUUAGACUAGUUAGACAAAUGCUACAUCUAGUCUAGUGAACAGUUCACGG
rnacentral:pre_miRNA from 1 species